rnacentral:lncRNA from 1 species
ACAGAAAGCCAGGUGGACACAUCCACCAAGUUUAUGUGACAUAAAACAAAAGAAAUGAAUACAUCAAAAGAUGGUGGGGAACAGGCCAAGUUUACCACUUAAAAUGGAGCCAGCUGUGAUUUUCUCAUACCUGUGCUGUGCUGGAGUUGAUAAAGAAACAGACAUCUUUCUUCAAUAAACAGUUGGAGGAGAAUAAAAGGAGAUUAUCAAUUGAAAAGACCAGUUCAAGAAAGAGUGUGUUGAAAAGAAAUGUUCAAGUCCUGAAGUUGAAAACAACCCUCAAACUGUCACUACAUCUAUAGACACCAAGAAUAUGUUCCCACUAUUAAAUAUAAGAUAUUAUAUCUAUUGUACAACAUAUUUCCAGAAAAUUUUGUUCAAGUUUUUAAGUUCCGUAGACUGUAGACCAUUAAAGGUGAUGACUCGG